CCUACGGGAGGCAGCAGUGAGGAAUAUUGGUCAAUGGACGAGAGUCUGAACCAGCCAAGUAGCGUGAAGGAUGACUGCCCUAUGGGUUGUAAACUUCUUUUAUAUGGGAAUAAACUGUUCCACGUGUGGGCUUUUGUAUGUACCCUAUGAAUAAGGAUCGGCUAACUCCGUGCCAGCAGCCGCGGUAAUACGGAGGAUCCGAGCGUUAUCCGGAUUUAGUGGGUUUAAAGGGAGCGUAGGUGGAUUGUUAAGUCAGUUGUGAAAGUUUGCGGCUCAACCGUAAAAUUGCAGUUGAAACUGGCAGUCUGGAGUACAGUAGAGGUGAGCGGAAUUCGUGGUGUAGCGGUGAAAUGCUUAGAUAUCAGGAAGAACUCCGGUUGCGAAGGCAGUUCACUGGACUGCAACUGACAUUGAGGCUCGAAAGUGUGGGUAUCAAACAGGAUUAGAUACCCCAGUAGUC
rnacentral:rRNA from 1 species